GUCCCUGUAGAGCAAUAGAUAGCGUGUUGGACUUCUAAUCCAAAGGUCAUGGGUUCCAGUCCCACCUGGGAUG